GUAACACACCUGGUACCCUGUCCCUUCCCUGUCUCACCAGGUAACACACCUGGUACCCUGUCCCCUCCCUGUCUCACCAGGUAACACACCCGGGACCCUGUCCCCUCCCUGUCUGCUGUCUCACCAGGUAACACACCUGGUACCCUGUCCCUCCCUGUCUGACCAGGUAACACCCGGUACCCUGUCCCCUCCCUGUCUCACCAGGUACCACACCUGGUACCCUGUCCCCUCCCUGUCUCACCAGGUAACACACCUGGUCCCAUCCCUGUCUGCUGUCUCACCAGGUAACACACUUGGUACCCUGUCCCCUCCCUGUCUCACCAGGUAACACACUUGGUACCCUGUCCCCUCCCUGUCUCACCAGGUAACACACUUGGUACCCUGUCCCCUCCCUGUCUCACCAGGUAGCACACUUGGUCCCCUGUCCCCUCCCUGUCUCACCAGGUAACACACCUGGUCCCCUCCCUGUCUCACCAGAUAGACCUAGUUGUUUCUAGUAGUGUCAUCCAGGGGUCAGAUCCAUUCAGCUGUGCAGGG
ensembl:lncRNA